GAUGAACGCUGGCGGCGUGCCCAAUACAUGCAAGUCGAGCGAACGGACGAGAAGCUUGCUUCUCUGAUGUUAGCGGCGGACGGGUGAGUAACACGUGGAUAACCUACCUAUAAGACUGGGAUAACUUCGGGAAACCGUAGCUAAUACCGGAUAAUAUUUUGAACCGCAUGGUUCAAAAGUGAAAGACGGUCUUGCUGUCACUUAUAGAUGGAUCCGCGCUGCAUUAGCUAGUUGGUAAGGUAACGGCUUACCAAGGCAACGAUGCAUAGCCGACCUGAGAGGGUGAUCGGCCACACUGGAACUGAGACACGGUCCAGACUCCUACGGGAGGCAGCAGUAGGGAAUCUUCCGCAAUAGGCGAAAGCCUGACGGAGCAACGCCGCGUGAGUGAUGAAGGUCUUCGGAUCGUAAAACUCUGUUAUUAGGGAAGAACAUAUGUGUAAGUAACUGUGCACAUCUUGACGGUACCUAAUCAGAAAGCCACGGCUAACUACGUG
rnacentral:rRNA from 1 species